GUCCCGGUAGUCCAACCCGGCAGAGACGACGGCCUUAGACGCCGUGCGGUGGGGGUUCGAAUCCCUCUCGGGACA
rnacentral:tRNA from 1 species